AAUAUAUUAUUUCUAUAAUAUAUUUGUAUGAUAUAUAAUGUAUAAAUAUAUCUGAAUUGCACUCACUGUUCAUAUCAGGUGUGAUGUCUUUACAUACACAGCACUGUGUGUGUGUGUGUGUGUGUCAUUAAAAAGAGCCAUUGUAUGUUUUUUGCAUGAUGAAAGUAUUUAAAGAUCCACUGAACUUGGCUGAAAAUUGAGAUCAAAUAUUUUUGUAUAAUCACCUGAAUGUAUGAAUUGUUGAUUUUAUUACCGUAGAACAAGCCUUUUUAGAUUUAUAUCAGGAGCAGGGUCAGCUUUGUUUUGGACCCCCACAUUUUUUAACAAUAACCCAUAAUUGAAUUGAAUUUUAGUGGCAUUGUUCAAACAGAAGCGGGACUAAACAAUUCAUCUUUUUCAAAUCA